rfam:Triticum urartu cultivar G1812 contig1001711, whole genome shotgun sequence.
UACCUGGUUGAUUCUGCCAGUAGUCAUAUGCUUGUCUCAAAGAUUAAGCCAUGCAUGUCUAAGUAUAAGCGUUAUACAAAGUGAAACUGCGAAUGGCUCAUUAAAUCAGUUAUAGUUUAUUUGAUGAAGGAAAAAGCUACAUGGAUAACUGUGGUAAAUCUAGAGCUAAUACAUGCCUUGUAAUGCCCCGACUUCGGAAGGGGUGCAUUUAUUAGAUUAAAUCCAAUGCCUUCGGGCUUUGGGGAGUCAUAAUAACUUUACCAAUCGCAUGGGCUAGUCCCGGCGAUGCUUCAUUCAAAUAUCUGCCCUAUCAACUUUGAUGGUACGGUAGUGGCCUACCAUGGUUGUAACGGGUAACGGGGAAUAAGGGUUCGAUUCCGGAGAGGGAGCCUGAGAAACGGCUACCACAUCCAAGGAAGGCAGCAGGCGCGCAAAUUAUCCAAUCCCGACACGGGGAGAUAGUGACAAAAAAUAACGAUACAGGGCUUUUUAAAGGUCUUGUAAUUGGAAUGAGUACAAUUUAAAUCCCUUAACGAGGAACAAUUGGAGGGCAAGUUUGGUGCCAGCAGCCGCGGUAAUUCCAACUCCAAUAGCGUAUAUUAAAGUUGUUGCAGUUAAAAAGCUCGUAGUUGAAUUUGGGCCCCGGCUGGGUGGUCCGCCGCAAGGCGUGUACUGCCUUUCAAGCUGGGGCUUACUCCCAUUGGUGAACUCUGGUGAGUCUUUGGCUCGCCAGGGGGAACCAGGGAAUUUACUUUGAAAAAAUUAGAGUGUUCAAAGCAGGCCUAACGGCUCGAAUAGAUUAGCAUGGAAUAAGGGAAUAGGACGUUGCGAUCCUGUUUCGUUGGUUUUAAGGAUCGCCGUAAUGAUCAAUAGGGACAGCUCGGGGGCAUUAGUAUUCACAAGCUAGAGGUGAAAUUCUUGGAUUUUGUGAAGACUAACUUCUGCGAAAGCAUUUGCCAAGGAUGUUUUCAUUAAUCAAGAACGAAGGUUAGGGGAUCGAAAACGAUUAGAUACCGUUGUAGUCUUAACAGUAAACUAUGCCAGCUAGGGAUCGGUCGGCGCUUUAAUUUACUAUGGCCCGAUCGGCACCUUUGCGAGAAAUCAAAGCAUUUGGGUUCUGGGGGGAGUAUGGUCGCAAGGCUGAAACUUAAAGAAAUUGACGGAAGGGCACCACCAGGAGUGGAGCCUGCGGCUUAAUUUGACUCAACACGGGGAAACUCACCAGGUCCAGACAUAAGAAGGAUUGACAGAUUGAUAGCGCUUUCAUGAUUUUAUGGGUGGUGGUGCAUGGCCGUUCUUAGUUGGUGAAGUGAUUUGUCUGGUUAAUUCCGAUAACGAACGAGACCUUGGCCUGCUAAUUGGACCGGUCGACCUUCGGGUUGGCACCUAGCAAUAGGAAUUGGUCCGCUUAGAGGGACUUUGAGCUUUAAGCUCAAGGAAGCACGAGGCAAAAACAGGUCUGUGAUGCCCUUAGAUGUUCUGGGCCGCACGCGCGCUACACUGACAGAGCCAGCGAGUAUUUUUCCUUGCCCGGAAGGGUUGGGUAAUCUUGUGAAACUUUGUCGUGCUGGGGAUAGAGCAUUGCAAUUAUUGCUCUUGAACGAGGAAUUCCUAGUAAGCGUAAGUCAUCAGCUUGCGUUGAUUACGUCCCUGCCCUUUGUACACACCGCCCGUCGCUACUACCGAUUGAACGGCUUAAUGAGGACUUGGGAUUGGUAUUCGGGAGCUGGCAACGGCACCUGAAAGCUGAAAACUUGUUCAAAUUUGGUCGUUUAGAGGAAGUAAAAGUCGUAACAAGGUUUCUGUAGGUGAACCUGCAGAAGGAUCAUUG